rnacentral:rRNA from 1 species
UACAGAGGGUGCAAGCGUUGCUCGGAUUUACUGGGCGUAAAGCGUACGCAGACGGCCGCGCAGGUCGGGUGUGAAAGCCCUGAGCUCAACUCAGGAAUUGCAUUCGAAACCAUGUGGCUCGAGUGUGGGAGAGGGCAGUGGAAUUCCUGGUGUAGAGGUGAAAUUCGUAGAUAUCAGGAGGAACACCUGUGGCGAAAGCGGCUCACUGGACCAUAACUGACGCUGAUGCACGAAAGCUAGGGGAGCAAACAGG